rnacentral:rRNA from 1 species
UACGUAGGGUGCGAGCGUUAAUCGGAAUUACUGGGCGUAAAGCGUGCGCAGGCGGUUUUGUAAGACAGGCGUGAAAUCCCCGGGCUCAACCUGGGAAUGGCGCUUGUGACUGCAAGGCUGGAGUGCGGCAGCGGGGGAUGGAAUUCCGCGUGUAGCAGUGAGAUGCGUAGAUAUGCGGAGGAACACCGAUGGCGAAGGCAAUCCCCUGGGCCUGCACUGACGCUCAUGCGCGAAAGCGUGGGGAGCAAACAGG